GAUGAACGCUGGCGGCGUGCUUAACACAUGCAAGUCGAACGGGAAACCUUUUAUCGAAGCUUCGGCAGAUUUAGCUGGUUUCUAGUGGCGGACGGGUGAGUAACGCGUGGGUAACCUGCCUUAUACAGGGGGAUAACAACCAGAAAUGGUUGCUAAUACCGCAUAAGCGCACAGGACCGCAUGGUCUGGUGUGAAAAACUCCGGUGGUAUAAGAUGGACCCGCGUUGGAUUAGCUAGUUGGCAGGGUAACGGCCUACCAAGGCGACGAUCCAUAGCCGGCCUGAGAGGGUGAACGGCCACAUUGGGACUGAGACACGGCCCAGACUCCUACGGGAGGCAGCAGUGGGGAAUAUUGCACAAUGGGGGAAACCCUGAUGCAGCGACGCCGCGUGAAGGAAGAAGUAUCUCGGUAUGUAAACUUCUAUCAGCAGGGAAGAUAGUGACG
rnacentral:rRNA from 1 species